CGNGACUUUCUGGUUGAUUACCGUCAAAUAAAGACCAGUUACUGCCUCUAUCCUUCUUCACCAACAACAGAGCUUUACGAUCCGAAAACCUUCUUCACUCACGCGGCGUUGCUCCAUCAGACUUGCGUCCAUUGUGGAAGAUUCCCUACUGCUGCCUCCCGUAGGAGUAGGGGGAAUCUUCCACAAUGGACGCANGUCUGAUGGAGCAACGCCGCGUGAGUGAAGAAGGUUUUCGGAUCGUAAAGCUCUGUUGUUGGUGAAGAAGGAUAGAGGCAGUAACUGGUCUUUAUUUGACGGUNAUCAACCAGAAAGUCACGGNUAACUACNUGCCAGCAGCCGCGGUAAUACA
rnacentral:rRNA from 1 species